rnacentral:rRNA from 1 species
CUAAUACCGCAUAAGAACGGCCAUGAAAGUGGUUUGGUGAAAGGGCGAAAGUUCGCCGGGAGGAGGAGCCCGCGGCUGAUUAGCUAGUUAGUAGGGUAAGAGCCUACCAAGGCUGAGAUCGGUAGCCGGACUGAGAGGGCACACGGCCACACUGGCACUGAAACACGGGCCAGAAUCCUAAGGGAGGCAGCAGUGGGGAAUCUUGCACAAUGGAGGAAACUCUGAUGCAGCGAAGCCGCGUGAGUGAUGACAGCCUUCGGGGUGUAAAGCUCUUUCGACCCGGAAGAUAAUGACGGUACGGGGGAGAAGAAGCUGCGGCUAACUACGUGCCAGCAGCCGCGUUAAUACGUAGGCAGCGAGCGUUGUUCGGAGUUACUGGGCGUAAAGCGUGCGUAGCCGGUGUCUAAGGUUUGUUGUGAAAUCUCCCGGCUUAACCGGGAGGUUACGGCGAAUACUGAGAUGCUGGAGUGCCGGAGAGUUAACCGGAAUUCCUGUUGUAGCGGUGAAAUGCGUAGAUAUCAGGAGGAACACUUGCGGUGUAGACGGCUUACUGGACGGUAACUGACGCUGAGGCACGAAAGCGUGGGUAGCAAACA